UUCUUAAUGAAUUUAUAUUAAGUAUUACCUGCUCAAUGAAUAAUUAAAUAGCCGCGGAAAUUUUACCGUGCUAAGGUAGCAUAAUCAUUAGUCUCUUAAUUAGAGACCUGUAUGAAAGGUAAAACAAUUUAAUUUCUUUAUUAAUUAAUAUAUUUUAACUUGAAUUAAGAAUAAAAAUGUUCUUAUUAAUAAAAAAGACGAUAAGACCCUUUUGAACUUUACUUUAGUUUUGCUGGGGAAGCAAUAAAAUAAUUUUUUUUUAUUUAAUUUAUUUAUUUAAAUGAUCCAUCAUAGUUGAUUAAAUGAACAAGUUACCAUAGGGAUAACAGCGUAAUAAUUUUUUAAAGAUCUUAUUUAAAAAUUUGAUUGCGACCUCGAUGUUGAAUUAGUUUUACUCUAUUAAAGCAAAAUUUAUAUAAGUAGGUCUGUUCGACCUUUAAUUUACUACAU
rnacentral:rRNA from 1 species